rnacentral:lncRNA from 1 species
AGAACCACUUUAGAAAGUAAACAUGUUUAUGUUUUAAGGUGAGCUGCAGUUGAGCGUCCACAUGGAAUGGGUGAGCAGCUUGUUUUGUGUCUGGCUAUGAUGUAGUUUUUGUCAUGUUGUUUUGAGCUCUGCCCCUUAUAGAAAAACAAUCAGAUAGUUAUUAGAUUCCCUGGCAUUAACACAUGACAUUGCAGGGGUGUGUAUGCCCUGUGGUCAAUUGAUUGGUGUGGGGAUUAUGCCAUCGGGGGAAUGAGUAUGGAAUUUGCUAGGUGCUUUGCUCUGGUAAUCAGGACUUUAUCUCUAAUCUAAGAGAGAGGAUUGAGUUCCUUAACGAUGACCAGAAAAUGCUUUUAGGAAGAUUCCUUGCCUAGAUGACUAUUUCUUAAGUUUGCAGUAAACAUGUGGGUCAGCCUGGCCAGGUGACACCUGCAAAGAGCUUGGUGGCUAAGUACCUUUGUUUUCAAAGCCAAUGAAAGAAUGUCAUAGAAUCUAUAAGAAACUUUACCUGAAAGAGGAAAAUAACGGGGAAGGGGUGGGUGCUGUUGUUCAUGAUGUGCUGGUGAGGGACUCUGGCCCUAGUCCCUUUUGUGAGAACUUUAAUUUUCCCCAAGUACUAUUUGGUGACAAGACUCUCACCA